rnacentral:rRNA from 1 species
AAGAGGAGUGGCGAACGGGUGAGUAACACGUGGGUAACCUGCCCAUCAGAAGGGGAUAACACUUGGAAACAGGUGCUAAUACCGUAUAACAAUCGAAACCGCAUGGUUUUGAUUUGAAAGGCGCUUUCGGGUGUCGCUGAUGGAUGGACCCGCGGUGCAUUAGCUAGUUGGUGAGGUAACGGCUCACCAAGGCGACGAUGCAUAGCCGACCUGAGAGGGUGAUCGGCCACAUUGGGACUGAGACACGGCCCAAACUCCUACGGGAGGCAGCAGUAGGGAAUCUUCGGCAAUGGACGAAAGUCUGACCGAGCAACGCCGCGUGAGUGAAGAAGGUUUUCGGAUCGUAAAACUCUGUUGUUAGAGAAGAACAAGGAUGAGAGUAACUGUUCAUCCCUUGACGGUAUCUAACCAGAAAGCCACGGCUAACUACGUGCCAGCAGCCGCGGUAAUACGUAGGUGGCAAGCGUUGUCCGGAUUUAUUGGGCGUAAAGCGAGCGCAGGCGGUUUCUUAAGUCUGAUGUGAAAGCCCCCGGCUCAACCGGGGAGGGUCAUUGGAAACUGGGAGACUUGAGUGCAGAAGAGGAGAGUGGAAUUCCAUGUGUAGCGGUGAAAUGCGUAGAUAUAUGGAGGAACACCAGUGGCGAAGGCGGCUCUCUGGUCUGUAACUGACGCUGAGGCUCGAAAGCGUGGGGAGCAAACAGGAUUAGAUACCCUGGUAGUCCACGCCGUAAACGAUGAGUGCUAAGUGUUGGAGGGUUUCCGCCCUUCAGUGCUGCAGCUAACGCAUUAAGCACUCCGCCUGGGGAGUACGACCGCAAGGUUGAAACUCAAAGGAAUUGACGGGGGCCCGCACAAGCGGUGGAGCAUGUGGUUUAAUUCGAAGCAACGCGAAGAACCUUACCAGGUCUUGACAUCCUUUGACCACUCUAGAGAUAGAGCUUCCCCUUCGGGGGCAAAGUGACAGGUGGUGCAUGGUUGUCGUCAGCUCGUGUCGUGAGAUGUUGGGUUAAGUCCCGCAACGAGCGCAACCCUUAUUGUUAGUUGCCAUCAUUUAGUUGGGCACUCUAGCAAGACUGCCGGUGACAAACCGGAGGAAG